CGGCCCCAACGCUACUUAUAGCCCCUUGGCCCUUGACGGGACUGGGCUGGACACAGGCGGCCUCCGUCCCUACCCAGGCACCCUACCAGGAUUGGAACCUGGAUUCUAGCCUGGGAUUCUCAGGUGAGCCUCCAGGAACACUUUCUUCUGCUUCAAUCCCUCCCCUUUUGGGUUCAGUUAAGCCUCUGCCUUUAGGAGCAUCCUGCUGUUUUUCCUUCUUGUAGGCCCUUUACAGCUAUGUUGUCUGUUUUCAUGUUUGUCCUGUUUUAGGUCUAUUUGUGCCUUUACAGUUGAUUUUCUUUUUUUUUUUCCCUAGAAAAAAUUUCGGUAUCUUGGGGUGUACACAUAGGUUUUUGGCCAAGAGAGCCUUCAUUCUGCUGGAAAACACUUAUACUAAUACUAAAUGUUUUUUGAUUAUACAGGAUCAGUUAAGAUUCCCAUCAGCCACAGUCACAGACACCUGAAUCUACAGAUACUGAAUUUGCUUUCUCCCUGUUUUGUUUAUUUGCAAGAUAAAUUCUUAGACUAGUUAUGUAGGCUAUAAAUUUGAGUCUAUUCUACCAGACAGCCAAUUGGGAAAUUGCUAUAAGCAUGGGUGCAUGGCUUGCUUCCUAUUCAGCCUGGCAUGACAAAGGUUAAAACUCUUGAGUGAAAAUAUGUACAAAGUUUUUUAAGAAGCUUGCUAAUUAAAGAAUUGGGUAUAGUGAACAAUAGAAUCUCUGGGGACUAUGCUUAAGAAUUUUACACCCAAACACCAAUAAUAAUAUUCAAAGGAUUAGCCUUAGGGAAAAAAAUCAGUUAGGGACAUAGAAUUUAGAAUUUACUUUUUCCCUUUGUAGAAAGUAAGGAGGAUACUCCAUUGUUUUCAUUUUCAUUGUUUAUUUGUACUAUCUGUAUAUUAGUAGAUGCUUUCAAGCUUUACUUUAGCUCGUACCUCUACCCUCAGUCUGAUCAGCUGAGGAGAAGAAAUUGUGGAUAAUACAACUUUUACUAUUGUUAAAAUAUACAUGUACAUACAUAUAUAUAUGCAUUGCCUUUCCCAUCAAUGCUGGCCACAUUGAAAUAGGACUGAGACAAAAGAAAGAAAUUGAACUAAUCAGAAACCAUGUAUAUGACAGAGAAAUGCUUUAAUUAGAAUUUAAAAUUUAAUAAAUUUAAUUUGAAAUAUCUAAGUUAGGCCCAUUUCAAAAUGAUGAGUGUUUAUGUUAAAGGUUAAUAAUUCUAAGCUAGGAGAAUUGAACAACUUUGAAAGCGAUAAAUCUCAAUUUUAAAUUGUGCUCUUACUAUUUGAAAUUUGAAAUGUAGAAAACUUACAGGGUCUGAAUAUGGAAAUCAUAAUUCAGUAUUUGCGACAUUAUAGAAUUACAGAAAUAUCUGUGAUUCUGUGAACUCUGGUGAAAGUAUUCCAGUAAUAAUCCUAAAAUCUACCUGGUUGACAGGAAAAAUUGUGUUCUCUGAUAACUUCUCAGUUAUAUAAGGUUCAAGAAUCUCAUGUGCAUUGAUGACCUUAAAUCAAGCAAAUCAUUAUAAGUUAAUGAUGAAAGGUUAAUUGAAAUGUAAAAAUCUAUCAACAUUGUGAUAACUAUAAUAAUAACUAUAAUACUCAAAGGGUUUUAAUAUUGUUAAACAUAAUUAAUGGAUUGAAUCUUGGAAGAAGUGAAUUAAUAUUUGAGAGAGUUUUCAGGGUGAUGCCCAAAAUGUUCGAUCCUCUGUUAAAUUCUUGUCAGAGUUAAAUUUCAAAAAAUGUACUAAAAAGUUUAGUACCUGAAAUCACCUCCUUGUUGCAAGGUACUGUUUAAAAACUAAAUCUUUGAACAGAAACUUUAUUCUAAAAACUUCUCAUGAUUCCUUUGUCUUUUAAUUGAGAAAAUAAUUGUUCAUGCUAUUGUCUGUGAAGUUCCAUUCUGGAGAUUUUAAAAUGCCACUCUAUUUAAAAUUUUGUAUAAAUUCUCUUUUAUUUUACUUUUAGUAUGUUGUCUGAUGUACUUAGAAGUAAGUUUUUCUGUUAAUUGUCUUUGAACUUGAGAGACUUCUGAAUUGUAUACUGCAAUGUUAUAAAUUCACCCAAACUAUUGCUACAAGUCUGACUAGAGCUCCAUCAAGCUUCUAUUACUCUUUUAUAUCAAACAUUUUAGCAUUCUAAUAAAGGAAAUUGUAAAGAGAAUGGAUGUGAAUCUCAUCACAUGAAGAUAUUUAAAUGAAAAGUUAAUACAGUUUCUUAAUGUGGUAGAAUUUGUUCCAUGAAGGGGAAAACCUGUUUGAACAGUCUAGCCUUGAAGUUAAAAAUCCAAUAUUGGUCAUCUCUAUAAGUUAUUCUAUUGUAUUCUAUUCUGUUCUAUAAGUUAUUCUAUUUUAAAUGGAGAGAUUGAUAAUUGCUUCCUUACCACUUGGAUUCUUCAGUAGUUUGGGAUGUCUUUCACACUCAUGUGUUAUUUCUUUGUUUGGAUUUGUCAUUUCUUUUCAUCUAACUCCUUUGGAAGUUGCUUUUACUUCACUUUUUGACCAUUUUUUACAUGCAAAUUGCUGCUGCUGCCCUAUGUCGAAACCUGUGGUUCCUGUCUCCCUUAUGGAGGAACCUCUGCUACUUCUUCUUCUUUUUUCUUUUUUCUUUUUUUUUGCAUGUUGGCCUAAAAGAUGAGAUUUGGUGAGUGAUUGUGAUCUCUGACAGCUGCAUUGCUAUUUUGUGUAGAGGUUAGAAUCAUAUAAUGUUUGAAUCUGUUAUUUCCUCCUUUUACCAAUAAGACUUUGCUAUUUGAGAAAAUAUUGAGAAUUUUAUUGUAAAAUACUAAUGAGAUUCUUCCUUUCAGGCAUGAUUGUUAUGAGGCUAUUGGACCACCAAUCAGGACAUCAGCAAAACAAUAGAUGGCUCCUAUCAUUUCCUGGAUAAUGGUUGGGGGAGUGACUUGGGGAAGAUCCAGGUAGAUCUCCAUCCUGACUGAGUUGUCAAAAUAAGUCAACCUUGAGCCAGACUGAACCACAUUUAUCAUUCCUAUACCUCUCCCUACCUUCUGCCUGAGAUUAAGUGAGAAACUUAUUUUGUAUUUCCUUUCUUCCUUCUCAUAUAGCAAACUCAAUAAGGAAGUCCAAAGUCCCUUCUUUUGCAAGUGGCAUACUUUGAAGCACUUUUUUUUCUCUACAAGGAUCUACCUCACCUUAAAGCUCUCUCUGCUAUACAUUUUCUGACUUUGUUUCUGUAUGUGUGAAGAUCAAAUCCUAUAGUGUUUCUAUUCUGUCCUUGUCUGUGUAUUUUUUUCCCUACAAGGGGGAAUCUGAUUUCAAGUUUCAUUUAAAAAUAAUGUUCUUUAAUACUACUCCUGUCAUAUUUUACCCCCAGUGUGCUGUCAGAGGUUGUGUGUGUGUGUAUGUAUGUUUGAGGAACUGAAAAAAUGGGAAGUAAAAAGAUACCUCUCAGGCAUUUACUCAGGACAAUGUGGGGCAGAAGAAAUUUCCUAUCCAAUCAGGCAUGACCCAAAUCUGAGUCAUCAGAGUAUCUUCUUGGGCAGUUUUUAUAUCUUUAAAGCCAAACAUUUUAAGGGGACCUCAGAUUAGUUCUCAAAAAUCUGUAUUCAGGGCAUUUGAAAUACUAGCUUAGAAAAUGUCAUUGUUAACUCAUAUGAUUCCUGAGUAUUUCCAACCUUCCCAAGGCCCUCACUGUUAUCCAUUGUAUAAUUCAUACCAGGAAAACGGAUCCUAUUCCCUUGAAAUGACAGAAUAGACUACAUAGCAUAUCAUUUGCGUAACUUUGUUUUCAGCUGUACCACCUUCUACUACACUACAAAGUGACCAAACUGGGACCAUGGAACUACCAAGGAAAAACUCCUGAAUCCAGAGGUGAAUAUUUGGACUUGAGUCUGAUCCUACUAACUAUAACAAUUGUUUGAGAUAGCUUUCUGCAGCUACUGCCUAUGGACAGCCUUCAAGAAAAGAAUAUUGCCAUCACAUCAAAUCACCAAUGUUAAACUAGCAUGCCAGCAUCUCCAAUGACCUCUGACUUUUCAUUUUCUUAUCUCUUCAAUUGUCGUCCAUGCGCCUCAGUAGGGGAAUGCCCUCUCUGGUUCAUGUGUCACCCAUAGAGGAGUGCCCUCUAUGCAUUGAGAUUGUAUUGGCCCACUCUCAGAUUUAUCUGGGGAAGGCCAAAGUGGGAAAUUUAAGCAGCUCAUUUGUAUUAGCUCAAAAAUCUCUUUAUAUUGAUAUCUUGUAACUGUGAUUAUAGUCUGAGGCAAGAGCCUAUGUAUAUAACCAGAAUGUUGUCCCAGGAUAGUACUCGAGUUAUGAUUUUGACUAUAUGUGUUACCAUAUUAAUCACAAGUGAGCUAUGUUAAUUCUAGGUGUGUGAAUCCAUUUUAUAAUGUACUUGUAUCAAACCAAUUCAUGGAAGAAGUUACAGGGACCAGAAUGUCAUCUCUUGUGGGGGUUGGGAAUUUUUCAGAAAUAAAGGGGGUUUGGAAACAUAUUUAACUAUAAAAGUGUAUAUUUUACAACUUGACGUCCCAGGUUUUGAACUGGGGGAAACCUGCAGACCUCUGACCCUGUGAUUUCUCUGCUCAAAAUAAAGCUAGAUCUUUGCUGAGAAA